rnacentral:misc_RNA from 1 species
UAUAGUAGCAAGACAGGUGCAAUUAUAGAUAAUGAAGUAAGAGAAUGGGUGGCCAUAGCAUAUGAACGCACUGUUCAGUUGAUAGAGGAACACAAGGAGCAAGUGGCUCAGAUUGCAGAGCUGUUGCUUGAGAAGGAGGUCCUUCAUCAAGAUGACUUGGUUAGGGUCCUGGGCGAACGUCCAUUCAAGUCAAGUGAGCCCACAAAUUAUGAUAGAUUCAAGGAAGGAUUUCAAGAAGAUGACAAGGAGUCCAAAGAAACAACGAAGGGUGGAACCUUGGAGGAUGAUGGAUCAUCAAACUUGGAACCGCCGGUUGUUCCAGCUUAGCAGGUGGAAAAUUUUAGGGCUGUGUAAAUGG